AUUGAACGCUGGCGGAAUGCUUUACACAUGCAAGUCGAACGGCAGCACGGGGGCAGCCCUGGUGGCGAGUGGCGAACGGGUGAGUAAUACAUCGGAACGUGCCCGGUCGUGGGGGAUAACGUAGCGAAAGUUACGCUAAUACCGCAUACGAUCAGAGGAUGAAAGCGGGGGACCUUCGGGCUUCGCGCGAUCGGAGCGGCCGAUGUCAGAUUAGGUAGUUGGUGGGGUAAAGGCCUACUAAGCCGACGAUCUGUAGCUGGUCUGAGAGGACGACAAGCCACACUGGGACGGAAACACGCCCCACACUCCUACCGGAGGCAGCGCGUGCAACUUUUAGCCAACGGGCGCACGCCUGAUCCGUCCUUUCCGCGUGCAGGACCCAGGCCUUCGGGUUUUCGACUGCUUUUGUACUGGUGUAAAAGGCUCUGGCUAAUACCUGGGGCUCGUGGCGGUACCGUAAGACUAAGCACCGGCUCACUACGUG
rnacentral:rRNA from 1 species